GACGAACGCUGGCGGCGUGCUUAACACAUGCAAGUCGAACGGAAAGGCCCUGCUUUUGUGGGGUGCUCGAGUGGCGAACGGGUGAGUAACACGUGAGUAACCUGCCCUUGACUUUGGGAUAACUUCAGGAAACUGGGGCUAAUACCGGAUAGGAGCUCCUGCUGCAUGGUGGGGGUUGGAAAGUUUCGGCGGUUGGGGAUGGACUCGCGGCUUAUCAGCUUGUUGGUGGGGUAGUGGCUUACCAAGGCUUUGACGGGUAGCCGGCCUGAGAGGGUGACCGGCCACAUUGGGACUGAGAUACGGCCCAGACUCCUACGGGAGGCAGCAGUGGGGAAUAUUGCACAAUGGGCGGAAGCCUGAUGCAGCAACGCCGCGUGCGGGAUGACGGCCUUCGGGUUGUAAACCGCUUUCGCCUGUGACGAAGCGUGAGUGACGGUAAUGGGUAAAGAAGCACCGGCUAACUACGUGCCAGCAGCCGCGGUGAUACGUAGGGUGCGAGCGUUGUCCGGAUUUAUUGGGCGUAAAGGGCUCGUAGGUGGUUGAUCGCGUCGGAAGUGUAAUCUUGGGGCUUAACCCUGAGCGUGCUUUCGAUACGGGUUGACUUGAGGAAGGUAGGGGAGAAUGGAAUUCCUGGUGGAGCGGUGGAAUGCGCAGAUAUCAGGAGGAACACCAGUGGCGAAGGCGGUUCUCUGGGCCUUUCCUGACGCUGAGGAGCGAAAGCGUGGGGAGCGAACAGGCUUAGAUACCCUGGUAGUCCACGCUGUAAACGGUGGGUACUAGGUGUGGGGUCCAUUCCACGGGUUCCGUGCCGUAGCUAACGCUUUAAGUACCCCGCCUGGGGAGUACGGCCGCAAGGCUAAAACUCAAAGGAACUGACGGGGCCCCGCACAAGCGGCGGAGCAUGCGGAUUAAUUCGAUGCAACGCGUAGAACCUUACCUGGGUUUGACAUGGAUCGGGAGUGCUCAGAGAUGGGUGUGCCUCUUUUGGGGUCGGUUCACAGGUGGUGCAUGCCUGUCGUCAGCUCGUGUCGUGAGAUGUUGGGUUAAGUCCCGCAACGAGCGCAACCCUUGUUCACUGUUGCCAGCACGUUAUGGUGGGGACUCAGUGGAGACCGCCGGGGUCAACUCGGAGGAAGGUGGGGAUGACGUCAAGUCAUCAUGCCCCUUAUGUCCAGGGCUUCACGCAUGCUACAAUGGCUGGUACAGAGAGUGGCGAGCCUGUGAGGGUGAGCGAAUCUCGGAAAGCCGGUCUCAGUUCGGAUUGGGGUCUGCAACUCGACCUCAUGAAGUCGGAGUCGCUAGUAAUCGCAGAUCAGCAACGCUGCGGUGAAUACGUUCCCGGGGCU
rnacentral:rRNA from 1 species